rnacentral:rRNA from 1 species
UACGUAGGUGGCAAGCGUUGUCCGGAUUUACUGGGCGUAAAGCGAACGCAGGCGGACCUUUAAGUAGGAAGUGAAAGGUUGGAGCUCAACUCUAACACUGCUCCCUAUACUGGAGGUCUUGAGUGCCGAGAGGAAGACGGAACUGCAGGUGUAGCGGUGAAAUGCGUUGAUAUCUGCAGGAACACCAAUGGCGAAAGCAGUCUUCUGGACG